ensembl:lncRNA
CAGCAAUAUAUAUCAUACUGAUGCCAUGGAAUUUCAAAGUGAUUGUUGCGAAAAGGAUGUUGCAGCUUUGAAAAACACUAACUUUUGACCAGGUUGUGAAACUGAUGAGGCAAGGACUUGUAUCUCUCUCUCUCCUGCUUUCUCAAUGAAACCCCCCCCCACACACACACACACACACACACACAAACUGGUUUAAGUCAGCUCCCCAUCCCUGGUCUGUCCUCGGUAAGGGCCUGUCCCCUAGUCUGUCCACAGUAAGGUCUUCUCCCCAGGUCUGUCCAAAGUAAGGUCCUGUCCCCUAGUCUUUUUUUUUUUUUUACCUUUAUUUUACUAGGCAAGUCAGUUAAGAACAAAUUCUUAUUUUCAAUGACGGCCUAGGAACAAUGGGUUAACUGCCUGUUCAAGGGCAGCACGACAGAUUUGUACCUUGUCAGCUCGGGGGUUUCAACUUGCAACCUUCCAGUUACUAGUCCAACGCUCUAACCACUAGGCUACCCUGGCCAUAGUAAGGUCCUGUCCCCAGGUCUGUCCAUAGUAAGGUCUUCUCCCAAGGUCUGUCCAUAGUAAGAUCCUGUCCCCUGGUAUGUCCAUAGUAAGGUCCUUUCCCCUGGUAUGUCUAUAGUAAGGUCCUGUCCCCUGGUGUGUCCAUAGUAAGGUCUUCUUCCCAGGUCUGUCCAUAGUAAGACCCUGUUCCCUGGUAUGUCCAUAGUAAGGUCCUGUCCCCUGGUGUGUCCAUAGUAAGGUCCUGUCCCCUGGUCUGUCCAUAGUAAAGUCCUGUCCCCUGGUGUGUUCAUAGUACGGUCCUGUCCCCUGGUGUGUUCAUAGUACGGUCCUGUCCCCUGGUAUGUUCAUAGUACGGUCCUGUCCCCUGGUGUGUUCAUAGUACGGUCCUGUCCCCUGGUCUGUCCAUAGUAAGGUCCUGUCCCCUGGUCUGUCCAUAGUAAGGUCCUGUCCCCUGGUGUGUCCAUAGUAAGGUCCUGUCCCCUGGUUUGUCCAUAGUAAGGUCCUGUCCCCUGGUCUGUCCAUAGUAAGGUCCUGUCCCCUGGUGUGUCCAUAGUAUGGUCCUGUCCCCUGGUCUGUCCAUAGUAAGGUCCUGUCCCCUGGUCUGUCCAUAGUAAGGUCCUGUCCCCUGGUCUGUAGACAGUAAGGUCCUGUCAAAUCAAU